rnacentral:lncRNA from 13 species
CCAGAUGUUUCUGUAACCUGGUUGGCUGCUGUUAGAGAUGGAGGGGCCAAGUGGGAAUUCUCAGUGCUGGUGUCAACUGGAGGUUGGCGUCACUCGCUAUUGCACAGCCGUGCCCUUUCGUGAGAAGUCAGUCGGCUUCACUGACAGCUGAUCUGGAGCCAAGACACCAAAAGGAAAAAAUACUUCUUAAUGAGCAUAUGAUUGGAUAACAAUAUUGUCUGAGCAGUAUUUCCAUGAUGACAUUGUGACCCAAGCCUGCAAUGCCAAGAAACACUCCUGCUCAGCCUCCUGCAGGCAGAAAUGUACAGCCCAGUCACAGGAGGGAAAGCACAGAGUGACUAUGCAGCUCAUCAGACAGCACAAAUAGUCAGCAGUAUCAAGAAGUAUUGAGCCAGUUCUGGAGAUGAUCUGUAUCAGUCCAAGACUCCUUCCUGCAGCCAAACCAUCCAUCUCUGCUAGGUGGAAAGACAGCCUGGACACGCAGUGCUCAGACAGGCUUCUACAUACUCACACCCACAAGCAGGUUCCUUUACUUGGAGUUGAAUCCCACUCCCAGUUUACCAGAGCACCUCCAGACCAUGAUCCAUCUACAACCUUCAAGGAUGCACCAAAGCACAGUUAG